GCGGAUAUAGCUCAGUGGUAGAGCACUUGCUUGCCAAGCAAGGGGUCGUGGGUUCGAAUCCCAUUAUCCGCUCCA
rnacentral:tRNA from 4 species